rnacentral:rRNA from 1 species
ACGCUGGCGGCAGGCUUAACACAUGCAAGUCGAGCGGGGGAGAUUGCUUCGGUGAUUGACCUAGCGGCGGACGGGUGAGUAAUACUUAGGAAUCUGCCUAUUAAUGGGGGACAACAUCUCGAAAGGGAUGCUAAUACCGCAUACGCCCUACGGGGGAAAGCAGGGGAUCACUUGUGACCUUGCGUUAAUAGAUGAGCCUAAGUCGGAUUAGCUAGUUGGUGGGGUAAAGGCCUACCAAGGCGACGAUCUGUAGCGGGUCUGAGAGGAUGAUCCGCCACACUGGGACUGAGACACGGCCCAGACUCCUACGGGAGGCAGCAGUGGGGAAUAUUGGACAAUGGGGGGAACCCUGAUCCAGCCAUGCCGCGUGUGCGAAGAAGGCCUUAUGGUUGUAAAGCACUUUAAGCGAGGAGGAGGCUCUCUUGGUUAAUACCCAAGAAGAGUGGACGUUACUCGCAGAAUAAGCACCGGCUAACUCUGUGCCAGCAGCCGCGGUAAUACAGAGGGUGCGAGCGUUAAUCGGAUUUACUGGGCGUAAAGCGUGCGUAGGCGGCUUUUUAAGUCGGAUGUGAAAUCCCCGAGCUUAACUUGGGAAUUGCAUUCGAUACUGGGAAGCUAGAGUAUGGGAGAGGAUGGUAGAAUUCCAGGUGUAGCGGUGAAAUGCGUAGAGAUCUGGAGGAGUACCGAUGGCGAAGGCAGCCAUCUGGCCUAAUACUGACGCUGAGGUACGAAAGCAUGGGGAGCAAACAGGAUUAGAUACCCUGGUAGUCC